CACCGGAAGUCAAUGAAGCGGGUCUUUCCUACGCUAAAAACCACUGAGUGGAGUACUUAGUACACAGGAAGUCGGCCAGAGAAACAUUUCUCAUAUUUGAAGGCCGGAAAGAGGGACAUUUCUGACACCGGAAGUCAGUGAGAGGACUCUUUCCCACACAGGAAGUCAGCUAGAGAGCCGUCUCCCCUCUCUGGAGCCGAGAGAGGCCGGUUUCCCCCAUCAUAGCAGGGCCAGGAGAAAGGGAUGGGGAGAGUCCCUCCUGCCACUGACCCAGGAUGGAUAAAAGUACCCCUUUCAUAGAAGGAAGAAAAUGGGAACAAAGGUGCUGCUGAUCAUCUGAGGUUGCCUGCAUGGCAGUUAAGAACUUGGACCUUUGGGUAGCCCACCUGGGAGGAAUUUUCCAGAGAUCACUGUCUGAUGGCCCUGUCUUGGAAUUGGAGCCAUGCAAGUUACACUCACCACGUUUGGGUUGGGAUAUUGAGGAGGUUAUGGUUAAAAGCAUACGAUGGGAGAUCAUAUUGUACUUGCGAGUGAGACCCGGCUGGAGGAAUGUUUUAAUUCUUCGGAAAUACCAAGUGGUCUCUACAGAACACUGAUGAUUCUGCUCUCAGGGUGUUGAUUGAUGUCUGGAAGGCAGAGACUCGUGGAUUAGCAAGCAUGUGUAAGAAAGUGCUCUGGAUGCCACAGGGUGGUAAUUUGUGCAUGGAAAAUGGCUGGGGUGAAGAGGAGACUAGGCUUUAUCUUGUCAGGUGGUCUCUGUGGUUCCAGUACCCAUGAGGGAGCUGAGUCUGAAGGACCUUGGAGCUUUGCAGAUAUAAAGGAAAAGCUGAUUUAAGCUUACCCAGUUUUCUCUGCCCCCUUCAUGAAAGAAUUACAGCAUAUAAUAAGAAAAAUCUGGAGAAACACUUAUUUUUAUGG
rnacentral:lncRNA from 1 species